rnacentral:lncRNA from 1 species
CUGUAAUAUAAAGAAGAUCAAUUUUAACUCAGUUUUGUAGCACCUCUCUGGUUGGAGAUAUUAAUUUGUUUAAGAUAUUCUCCAUUUCUUUGUGCUCUGAGUGAAUGAAAUUCUGAUAUUUUCAUUUCAGGAAGCAUUGGAUCUUAGCAUUCAUUUAUGGGCUGCACUCAGCUGUCAGAAUAUAAGAAUCUAAGACUUUGCCCAGGCAUGAGGAAUGCAAACUGUGUCUAAACUGCCAGACUUUACAUGUGUGCUUUCUUACAUAUUUGAUUUGGAUGCAAUGAUCCUUCAGGAGAUGUAGACAACUUGUGAAUCUGAUGCAGCAGUCUCCAUUGAUCUCCAUUUCCUGCCUCUCGGGAAGCCUCUGAGGAGACAAUUUGGUGUGGGGUCAGGAACUCAAGCAAGUUUUCGAUAGGACGGACGGCCUAGACCUGGCCUCAGGCUACGGAGUGAGACACACAGAGCAGCUGCCAUUGAGCUCUAGUCCACUGUGCUCACCCUCUCACAGUGUUCCACCCUCGCCCUGCACAGUGCACUUCUUCUCCUACUUUUAAUUCACCCUCACUCCGUA